rnacentral:rRNA from 1 species
GACGAACGCUGGCGGCGUGCUUAACACAUGCAAGUCGAACGGAAAGGCCCUGCUUUUGUGGGGUGCUCUAGUGGCGAACGGGUGAGUAACACGUGAGUAACCUGCCCUUGACUUUGGGAUAACUUCAGGAAACUGGGGCUAAUACCGGAUAGGAGCUCCUGCUGCAUGGUGGGGGUUGGAAAGUUUCGGCGGUUGGGGAUGGACUCGCGGCUUAUCAGCUUGUUGGUGGGGUAGUGGCUUACCAAGGCUUUGACGGGUAGCCGGCCUGAGAGGGUGACCGGCCACAUUGGGACUGAGAUACGGCCCAGACUCCUACGGGAGGCAGCAGUGGGGAAUAUUGCACAAUGGGCGGAAGCCUGAUGCAGCAACGCGGCGUGCGGGAUGACGGCCUUCGGGUUGUAAACCGCUUUCGCCUGUGACGAAGCGUGAGUGACGGUAAUGGGUAAAGAAGCACCGGCUAACUACGUG